GCUUGCGGCCUAUUAGCUUGUUGGUGGGGUAACGGCCCACCAAGGCUAUGAUGGGUAGUCGGCCUGAGAGGGUGUACGACCACACUGGGACUGCGACACGGCCCAGACUCCUACGGGAGGCAGCAGUGGGGAAUUUUGCGCAAUGGGCGAAAGCCUGACGCAGCGACGCCGCGUGGAGGAAUAAGGCCUUCGGGUUGUAAACUCCUGUCAGAGGUGAAGAAUGCCCGCAAGGGUUUGACGGUAACCUCAGAGGAAGCCCCGGCUAACUACGUGCCAGCAGCCGCGGUAAUACGUAGGGGGCGAACGUUGCUCGGAAUUACUGGGCGUAAAGGGUGCGUAGGUGGCUGANCAAGUCGUUGAUGAAAUCCCGGGGGCUUUAACCCCGGAACUGUUUUNCGAAACUGCUCAGCUUGAGGAUGGUUGAGGAGAACGGAAUUUCCCCGGUGGAGCGGUGAAAUUGCGUANAUAUCGGGAAGGANANCUGAGGCGAAGGCGGUUCUCUGGNCCNUUCUUAACCUUGAGGCNCGAAACCUUGGGAACAAACGGGA
rnacentral:rRNA from 1 species